rnacentral:rRNA from 1 species
GUGGUUUAAUUCGAUGAUACGCGAGGAACUUACCUGGGCUCAAAUGUAUGUUGACGUAUUCUGAAAGGGAUACUUCUUCGGACAAUAUACAAGGUGCUGCAUGGUUGUCGUCAGCUCGUGCCGUGAGGUGUCGGGUUAAGUCCCAUAACGAGCGCAACCCCUAUCAUUAGUUGCCAUCAGGUCAAGCUGGGGACUCUAAUGAAACUGCCUACGCAAGUAGUGAGGAAGGUGGGGAUGACGUCAAAUCAGCACGGCCCUUACGUCCAGGGCUACACACGUGCUGCAAUGGCCGGUACAGAGGGCAGCCACUUGGUGACAAGGAGCAAAUCUCAAAAGCCGGUCUCAGUUCGGAUCGGAGUCUGCAACUCGACUCCGUGAAGUUGGAUUCGCUAGUAAUCGUAGAUCAGCAAUGCUACGGUGAAUACGUUCCCGGGCCUU